rnacentral:rRNA from 1 species
UACGUAGGGCGCAAGCGUUGUCCGGAAUUAUUGGGCGUAAAGAGCUCGUAGGCGGCUUGUCACGUCGGGUGUGAAAGCCCGGGGCUUAACCCCGGGUCUGCAUUCGAUACGGGCUGGCUAGAGUGUGGUAGGGGAGAUCGGAAUUCCUGGUGUAGCGGUGAAAUGCGCAGAUAUCAGGAGGAACACCGGUGGCGAAGGCGGAUCUCUGGGCCAUUACUGACGCUGAGGAGCGAAAGCGUGGGGAGCAAACGGG